rnacentral:tRNA from 1 species
AGGCGGGUAGCUCAGUUGGCAGAGCAUCAGGUAGUUGACCUGAAGGUCGCUGGUUCGAAUCCAGCCCCGGCUGCGA